rnacentral:rRNA from 1 species
UAGCUUGGUGGAUCCUGGCGAACGGGUGAGUAACACGUGAGCAACCUGCCCUGGACUCUGGGAUAAGCGCUGGAAACGGCGUCUAAUACUGGAUACGAGACUUGAUCGCAUGGUCAAUGUCUGGAAAGAUUUUUCGGUCUGGGAUGGGCUCGCGGCCUAUCAGCUUGUUGGUGAGGUAAUGGCUCACCAAGGCGUCGACGGGUAGCCGGCCUGAGAGGGUGACCGGCCACACUGGGACUGAGACACGGCCCAGACUCCUACGGGAGGCAGCAGUGGGGAAUAUUGCACAAUGGGCGGAAGCCUGAUGCAGCAACGCCGCGUGAGGGAUGACGGCCUUCGGGUUGUAAACCUCUUUUAGCAGGGAAGAAGCGAGAGUGACGGUACCUGCAGAAAAAGCGCCGGCUAACUACGUGCCAGCCAGCCGCGGUAAUACGUAGGGCGCAAGCGUUAUCCGGAAUUAUUGGGCGUAAAGAGCUCGUAGCGGUUUGUCGCGUCUGCUGUGAAAUCCCGAGGCUCAACCUCGGGCCUGCAGUGGGUACGGGCAGACUAGAGUGCAGUAGGGAGAUUGGAAUUCCUGGUGUAGCGUGAAUGCCCAGAUAUUCAGAGAACACCGAUGGCAAUGCAGAUCUCUGGGCGUACUGACGCUGAAGAGCGAAAGGUGGGGAGCAAACAGCUAAAUACCUGGUAGUCCACCCGUAACGUGGAACUAUUGUGGGGAC